CAGCUAACAUAUGAGGGCCACCCCGUGCCAGGCAUUAUUCUAAGCAAUUCGCAUAUGUUAGCUCAUUUAAUCCUCAGCACAAUCAGCUGGGGUGGGAAGUUGCUGACCUUGAUGAUUACUGAACUGUGGUCAGUGGGUGCCGCUGAUUUGGCAUGGCUGGAUUUUUGCUGCCACCAUGAGGAGGAGGAAUCACAGUCCCGCUGAUGAAUGAGAAACGCCGGGAUGGAGGAAGGGGAGGAGCAUUGUUAUUGCCAGUAUCAGGAAUAAAAAUGCUAUUGAUGAAGGCAGCAAGGGGAGACAAGACCAAGAUGAAACCAUCGUCCUAACUUGUGCGGGCUCUCUCCCUCUCCUUCUGGCUACGCGGGUGCAAGCAGGAGCGAGGUGCAGAAGCAGCGACAGGGUGGCAGGUCGGGAGGAAGCCCGGGGCUUCUCCUGCUCACCUCUCACUCCACUUUUCGCCUCAGCAGGAGAGCUGCGGGAUAUCUGGGUCCACACAAUAAUAAUAAAGCA